UCCCAAAAUAAACUCUUCCUGCUCAAGUUAGAGCCUUGGGCUUAAAGUCUCAGCGUCCUGGAACCAGAACAAUACAAACACGGGAUCAGCGGAAUGAGACAGGAGCAUUUGUGAGCGAUGCGAUCAUCGCUUUGUUAGUGCAGGCUCUGUGACACGCUGGGAAUGCGUUGAAGUUAGGGGGGAUUUUAGUCAAUAUAAGGGAAGACUAGGUGCCAUCUACUGGUGAAGAAACUGACAACUUUCCAUUUUUCCAACAAAACUUUGUGUCUUUUCAGACAGUGCCGUCAGCAGGAGCUGGUUGUAGAAUAUACACAACAUCGUUAUCCUGUGGUCAUGAUAAGUUGGCAAGGCUGUCCAAUCCAAUUGCCAGCCUGAUUUCCAAAAUUUCACCCUACAAAACUCAUGUGCAAGAUGGUAAAGAUUACAUAAAAGGAUGUCCACUAUGGCACUCUUCGCAAUUACUAGGAAAAUGAACCAAGUGUCCACUGAUGGGAGUCUGAUUAAUUAUAUUAUAUAUAUAUCUGCUACACAAUAAAAUGACACAACAAAGGAGCUUAUAGCCAUCAAAAAGACAGAAGUGGAGUUAUUGACCAGGAGCAGUAUGUUUGAGAAAUAUCUGGUGAAAUAGGAAGAACUGCAGGGAGAAAAGAGCCAACCAGGACCACAAGCUCCAGGACCAGAGGGCAGAGGAAGACCUUGUGAUUUAAAGGAGGUGCUGACAGGAGUACCUGGAAGGAAAGACUUCAUGCUUGAUACCUGGGCUAAGACACCAAAUAAUGGGAAACUACCCAUGAUUGGGCACUGUGACUGGAUGAAAUCUGCUUCUCAGAACAAACCACUCACUGGAGAAGAGUUUAACUGAG
rnacentral:lncRNA from 1 species